UUCUAUACAGUAUGUCUCGCUGCAGACCUCAAUCCAAGCCGAUGAAAUUGACAUGUUGGUAAUGAAAGAGCCUCCUCCUACUGAUAAACCUUCAAGCUCAGAGGCUGUUCCCAUCACCAAAUCAGUCGCAGGGGUGCCUUGCAACAGCGAAUUCGACAAGUUACAAGAACACCAGACAUUGGAAGAAAUCCAACCGAGCUGUGGCUUUAGUCAAUGUAACCUGCUUCUGGCAUACCGGCGAAAGCCAAAGGAGUAGAGGCGGUGGUGAUGAAGGGAAUGACAAAUGACAAACGACAAACGACGUGGUUCGUGUAACUUGCUGUGCACAGAUAUUUGGCAAUUUGAAUUUAGUGAAAUCCAGAGAUUUAGCUGUUUAACCAAGUGGGAAGGUCAGUUAAUCCUUUGUAUUGUAUCUAUACAUCUAUGAAGGUGCGAUCUAUAUAUAGCCCGAUGAAAACAACACUAACGCAUUGACUAGCUGCUCCUGUAUGUUAUAAACAUUUCUUUUUCUGAGAUACCAAUGAUACUAGGUUAAACUGUUAGAAGUAUAUGCACCCUUUUACCCCCCCAAGAUUCCUUCUGUAUGAAAUAUCCUACAUAUUUACUCUUAGGUUAAAGUUUGUUACUGUGGGGGAUGUUAUUAUUCAUUUUGUGUCUAGUA